UACAGAGGUCUCAAGCGUUGUUCGGAUUCAUUGGGCGUAAAGGGUGCGUAGGCGGCGCGGUAAGUCGGGUGUGAAAUCUUGGAGCUUAACUCCGAAACUGCAUUCGAUACUGCCGUGCUUGAGGACUGGAGAGGAGACUGGAAUUUACGGUGUAGCGGUGAAAUGCGUAGAUAUCGUAAGGAAGACCAGUGGCGAAGGCGGGUCUC
rnacentral:rRNA from 1 species